rnacentral:lncRNA from 1 species
AUCCUCCUAAUACUAUCCGGUAGCCAAAUGACCCUUAAUGUCUAAGGAAGCCAGAAUUACAUACAACCAACCAUAAACAGAAUAGACUUGCAAAAUGCAAGGAAAAUAAGCGCCACCGAACACCCAACCUACACCUCGCUUGAUUCCCCCUCUUCUCUUAUUUUGCCUCGACUACAACCCUCGGACUCCCACACCUCAAACUGACAAAUUUUACCUCCUCUCCAAUACUCGCAAUAACCCACGUGCCUAUUACCUCUCAGCUCACAAAGAAUAUAAGCAACCGAUGAGGUUGCCUGGAGCAGCAAAGAGCAUACACUGCUUGACAUCAUUAAAAAUGGAUUUACAAGAUACGAGGGAGGAAAACAAAACCACCAAUCAUUCAUCCCACACCUCGUAUAAUAACCUUCACUACUGCCCCCACUCCACUAUUACGGACUCACAAAAACCCACAAAUCUUUUUGCCACUCCGGAAAAAAAAAAUCCUCACAGGAUUUUGAGAAAAGAGACUCAAAAACUCACACAAACACCUAACCAACAAUAUAUGAGGUCACUUCUCUAGCAUUCCAGACCCUUCAACCUGAAACAAGAGCAAGCAAAGACUAGCAAACAAAUUAGAAAUUAUAAAGAUUCCAGUUACCAAGAAAUCUCUCAUCGAGAGCCCAUUAAGGUUAAUCUGUUUCUAACAUCAUUCACAAUAGAGUUAAUUAACAUUCCCUCAGAGCAUUUGUUAUUCUGAAAAAUCCUCUCGUUUCUUUUCCUGCCACAAGAAAUAAACACUUAAGAGUGAAAAUCAAUUUAAUAAGCUUAGGCUAUAUUUGGAUCUAGGAUUUUGUGAGGGAAAACAAAAUAGAAAUGGAAAAGUUAGACGAUCCAACCGUUCGGGACAAUUGGAUCAUCUACUUUUUCCAUUUCCAUGUUCAUUUUCUUUUUCCUUACCAAAUCCUUGAUCCAAACACAGUCUUAGAGAAAUAGGAUUUACGUACCCUUGGUACAUGAGGAAAGAAAAGAAACCCAAUUAUGCCAGAGUCUAUUAGCCCAUGAAAAAACCACAUUUCCCUAAGGCUGUAAUUUACCCCCAAAAAAGAAGUCCAGCUGUGAAUCGUAGUCCUCAAGCUUCAGUUCGUAAUUGGAAGGAAGAGUUGAUUCAGGUGCAAUAACAAUUAUAAAUCAAAAAAAUGAAAACUUCAUAAAUCUCAAAAUGGAAGUUUAUCUUGAAAAAAAAAAAUAACAGAAAGAAAGCAAAAAAUACCAUGAAAUUGUCUCGUAAAAUAACCCAAUAUGAACACAUACCCAAAAGUAAUAAAAGAAAUGUCUUACAAACUAUAAAUGAUAAAAAUAAAAUAAAAUCUAACAAAUUGAAGAAUAUCAAAAACUUCAACAAUUUACAAUGCCAUAAACAAAAUAAAAAUAAUAUAAAAAUUACGCCUAGUCACCCAUUAAUGGGUGUCAGAGAGGGGGAAAUACAAAUAAUACACACAAUAAAAUAGAAUGUAUUAAGAAACAAUCAAAUAAAUCCUUAAAAAAUGACAAAACAGAAAAUAAAAAUAAAAAAUAAAGUAUUAGUUUAAUGGCAAUUGUAUAUAAACAAAGCUCAAUAAGUAAAUAGUUAGAUUGCCUAAUGAUCAACUAAUUCUUACUUCAAACAAUUACUCAUUAAUGAAAAGUAAACAUGGUCUAUACAGAAAACAAAUACAAGACCUUCCAAAUCAAACUUCUAAAAAAAAGAAAAAAAGAAUAAAACUAAGUACCCAAAAUAGUGCAAAAUUUUUUAGCCAAUCAACAAAAGAAACCAUUGUCUAGGAAAAUGAGCAAAAAAGUAAUAUGAAAAGUUUAUCAGUGAAACACUUGGUCUCCAUUUGGCAACCAUAAAUCCAAAAAAGGGAAAGUACAAAAAAAAAAACAGGGUUUGACCUGAGUAACAAAUUAAACUAUGUGGUUUUAAUUGUAACAAGUUAAACCCUAAAAUUUUGAUCUUAUUACAAUUAAAACCCUCCGCCUAUGCAUAACCCUUGGAAGGGAGCAAACCUCACGGGGGGAGAGAGAAACCAUAACAAACAUAUCAAAAAGUUCCAGCCUAUGCAUAAAGUAAAUGGAAAAGUUCACACAAAGGCCAUACAAUAAAUGUUGGAAAAACGUCCUACUUGAGUAACUCUAUAUAAGCAACCAGAUAGAAUUCAAGUUCCUACUUCGGGAUGUGGCAUCAAAAUUGACAUCACAUCGCGUGAACAACCUAUGCGCAAAGGAUGGUACCCAUACCUGGUCCACAUCAAGUUAUAAGGAAACAUAUAAGGUCUCUUCAAUUACCUCAUAGAUUAACUUGCACAAAGCUAUUCCUUUUCCACAAAGCAAUAUAUUGUUGACACAACUCCACCUAUGCAUCUCAAAGAAAUUCUAUAAUCUUUGUUUAUUAGCACUGGAGCAAAGAAAAAUAUAAAAACAAAGGCUUGGUUUGGUUUGGCUUGGUUAUGAACUUGAUGUCCUAAAGACAAGCACAUAUAGUACCAAAAUUACAAGACGAUUGGCUCCCAUGUUUACCAUUUCUACGAACCAAACAUUGGUAUAUAGGAAGAAAAUUAAUGUAGCUAGGUCCAGUAUUUAAAAAAUAUUUAUAAAAAUUUUACCUACACAACACCACAGGUGUUCUAGUCUCAUGAAUAACCGAGUCUCCAGUUAUUAUGGAAGAUCAAAAUUACAUAGAAUCAGACAACAUGAAGAACAUGUCAUCUCAUGAAUGUUCACCUGAUUC